UUAAUUCAAUAGUACUAAAAUCAUUAUCAGAAUUGUUAGUGUUAGUUUUUUAGUUCAAAUUCAGUGGCAAUUGGAAUUUACAAGUCAUGCUUGUGUUGAUCGUUCAUUUCAUUUAUCGUGAUAAAACCUCCAAAUAUAUGUAAUCUCUGCUAAUGAGAUUGUUAAAUCCAAAUUCUACAUAGGCAUAGAAUAUGUUUGCUGGUUGCUGGUCCAGUUUAAACAAAUCUCUCUGAAACUCAAGCUAUAUACAUUGGAAGUAGAAUGGAACAAGAAUUUCAUGACACAUAUAUCAGCAGCUUGAUUAAAUGAGCUUUUGAAAAUAGUAAUUACAGCAAUGUUUACAAUUAGUAGUAUGGCUAAAUGGUUGUGCUUAUCUGCCUCCCUGUUUCGAUCACUUGUAAACAUCCAAGUAUUCUACAGUUCUUGUAUAUGAUGUUUUCUAUGUUUCCUGAUAAGGAAUUUGUAUUGGAAAAACUUUUAUACCCUGCAACAAAGUAGGUAAGUCUUCUCUUCUAGUAAUUGAGAGCUUGCAGCUUCAACAAUCUGAUAAAGGAUGCAACUUCCGUAUUAGUCCUCUUGUCUAUCAAAAAUCAGAAGCACAAAUGAGCAACUACGUUACCUCAAAGCCCAUCUUUUCGUACAGUUCCUGUGCAGGUGUGUUGUUUCUAUGCACAUGCACAUACACAUGUUCUACACCGUUAGAUUUGGCUGAUUCAACAGCAAAAUGUAACAUGUUGCUUGCAAUCCCUUGGCGACGUGCUGAUUUGGCAACACACAAAUUUGCGACAUAGCCAUAUGUACUUGGGCCCCUCCGGCAGAAACUGCGGAAGAUAGGAACCUUCACCCGCUCCUGUGAGAGAGAUAAUUUGCUAUGUCAAGAAAAAAAUUGAUCAGAUGAAUUAAUUGAUAGAUUAACACUUCAAAAUUAGACAGAAUGCAUUGUACCCCUGGAAAGGUCUCUCCCUGCAAUAAGCACCGAAUGCUCAAAUCAAGAGUUCCAACUACACUUUUCAGUACAGUGCGUUUUACAUUUUUGCCUUUCUUUCUUACCUGAUAAAACAUGAGAGUAGCUUACAGAAGCUUUGCAGAAGCACAGAGAAAGACACCAAUGGCAGCACAAUCCUCUAUUUUCUUUUUUCAUCAGACAAGAGAAACUGAAAGAGUCUUUAAUUUAACAAACUUUAACUUCCAGUGAGUAAAAUCUAGAGUAUAACUUGUUCUAUCAUUUUCUCUUCCAAGUAAAGAUGGAUAUUUUAAACUACUGUAAAAAUCAACGUACCGCAACAACACAACAACAGUUUUGUCCAUGUAGACCUGUUCGACGCUUUUUUAUGGCAUGGAACUCCUGCAAAAUAUGAAAACAGGAAAGACUUUCAUGAAAAAGUAGAUAUUAGUAAGCAAGGUAAAAGAAAAAAGGUGGUAUCCACUCCUACCUGCUCUGCAAACUUCCUUUUGUGGUUAUCAACAUAUCUGUGUUAAUCAGGGGUAGCUAGAAUCAGUAAUUGUCCAACUCUUCCACUUAUGUGCAUUAACAAAAUCAUCAACCCCAUUUGAGGCCCGGGCCAUGGUGUCACCAGGAGAAUAUUCUCCAGAGACAUCAUAUGUUAGUGGGCCAAAAUCGUAAACUGGUAAAGAAAUAAACAAUAAUGGGUGUAAACUUGAAUCUGGGAGUACCUGUAGCAGGACUCAGUUUGACUAAAAUCUGAGAGUAAAAUAGUGGAGGCCAGUUUUAAAACCAUUCCCUUUAAAUUUUCUCAACCACAUUAAACAAUUUACAAUAGAUAAUGCAUAGCAUGCUUGCUUCAUACACAUAAUUCUGGAUGGUAAACCACCGAUCUGGACUACCUCACUGGGAUUCAUCAUUCCUCAACCAGAUGAGCAAAAAUUUUAAAUGGAACUAAACACAUUUUAUAUCUGGAAAAUCUAGUUUGUUUAGACAAAUUACGCACCGAUCAUUUGUUCGAUCUUCCCAGUGGCUUUCUGCUCGUAGCCAGGCUGCUGUCCAGAAUUCUUCAUCAAUUAUAGCUUCUCGUGCCACAAAUUGCCCAAAUUCUAACUUGUCCUCAUGUACCAAAUCCUUUUCGGGUAUUUGAAGA
rnacentral:misc_RNA from 1 species